rnacentral:lncRNA from 1 species
UUCAGCACAAGGCCUACGCGAGCGGUCACACGUGUGCUUAAACCUUUUCAAAAUAUUUUUAUUUGUUUUUGAAUUUUUUAUAAAAUAAAAGGAAAAGAUUUUCAGCUCAAGGCAUACGCGAGCGGUCGCACGUGUGCUUAAACCUUUUCAAAAAAAAUUUAUUUGAUUUUUAAUUUUUGUAAAAGAAAAGGAAAAGAUAAAAAAAAAAUACACUAAAAGUUAAGUGACAGAAAUAAAAUAAAAAAAUUAAUAAAACAAUAAAAGGGAUGGGGGUGCCUAAAUAAGAAAAAAGGGUNUCUAACCUAAUUUACUCCUAAGAGUAAGUUGGGCCCAAGUCCAAGAGAAAAAGAGGUGCUAGAAAGGAAAACAAUAGCUACCAAAAGCAAUUCAAACAUAAGACCNGACUGGGNCUAAGCCCGAAAGAAAAUGGGGUGGUGCAAAGGAAACAAAUGGGUGUGCAAANGAAACAUUUUUUUGUUGAGCCCAAAAUGAGCCCAAUUCCAUUACCCUANACCCAUCAGGGUUUCCUCNGCCCCCCAAAACCCUCAGAAGGGUUCCCAUUCGACCCCAUCCUCCAGUGCGAANGUGACUCCCAAACCCUCAGUUCCCAAUCCGGCCACCGUCUNAGCCACCGUGAGCAACCCAAACGUUUCAGACCAGGACAUCAUNAGCGCCACUGGUUAUGACCCAAGGUCGCUGCCAAUCAUCGCCGGUCACCUUUACUGCCACAACAAAACCUUCCUCUACCUCCAAAACCUCAAUGCCACAGCC